AUGUUCUACUGUUCUACUUACCCUAAUCUGGUCAAAGAAUUCUGGUUUGGUAUCAAAUUCUGGCCUCAAAUUUUUUUUCCAAAGAACAAGAAUAUAGACUCUUUAGAUGUUGAUGAAAGGGAUUUUCUUCUUCUUCUCAACUUAGAUUUGAAGAUCAACCUUCCUCAUCUUAUGUUUGAAUAUCUGAAGAUGACUCUCUUAUCCUUUCAAAAAGGAAAUUGA